rnacentral:tRNA from 1 species
GCGGAUGUGGCGGAAUUGGCAGACGCACUGGAUUUAGGUUCCAGCGGGAGCAAUCCCGUGGAGGUUCAAGUCCUCUCAUCCGCACCA